AAUUUGACUCAAAUCUGUCAACAUUAUUGUUUGUGUGCGUAGAUUUUUCAGUAUUUUGAUAUUCUGUGUUGAAUUGUGUUAAGAAACGAACUAAAACGGACAUAGAAAAUGAAAAGGACUUUUUUUCGACACCACCAGAAAUUGGAGAAGCUGCUAAAGUUGCCUCACUAAAUGUAUUGCCGUAAUGUAAUGUAACAAAAUUUUCCAACAAAAAAAACUUCAACAAAAAUUUGUAUAAUGACUAUUAUUCUCUCGAUGAUUUAGGCCUAUUUAUUUCAUGAAUAAACAGUUCGAUAGUGUAAAUUGCGAAAUUAUCACAGAAAAGUUCCAAAAUGUGAGAAAUGAAUUUGAGAUUCAAAUUUUUUAUUUGGUUCAUAACAAAGCUACAGCUUUAGAACAUGUCACAAAAUACCAUCAAAUUAACAUAUGCCAAAAGUAAAAUAUAAAAUCUUCAGAAGAUACAGUGCAAUAAAAAUAAUAAUACAGUACAUACAUACAAUCGUGAAAGGCAUCUUUGCUCUAUGGUCCCGGGAGUGAAUGGAAAAAGUCAUUAAUACCAUAUAGGGGAUUUUCCUGAUGAUGAUGGCAAAUUCUUUUUGUGGCAUUUAUCGGCCACCUGUAUUUGAGGAAUUCGUCGUUGACCACCCUUGUAUCGUUUUCAUCCAAAGACAAUAUCGCGAAUGCACCAACUUUUUGUUCCAUGGAAAAAUCACGAAACCGGAAGUUUAAUACAAAUUUAAAAUACUUUCAAAGUCAUUGAAUUGUUAUAGAUAUUACUUACUUUUUGUAUAUUAAUGUUUAAUAAAAUUUAUUUUGUCUAA